GUCCCUGUGGCGCAAUGGAAAGCGCGUUGGACUUCUAAUUCAAAGGUCACGGGUUCGAAUCCCACCUGGGGUG
rnacentral:tRNA from 1 species